UUAAACUAGGGAUUAGAUACCCUAUUAUUAAAAUUUAAAUUAGUAAUACUAAAAUAGUAAGUAAUUAUUUAUUGAAACUUAAAUAAUUUGGCGGUAUUUUAGUUCAUUUAGAGGAAUCUGUUUAAUAAUUGAUAAUCCACGAAUAAAUUUACUUAAUUUUUUAUUUUGUAUAUCGUUGUUAAAAAAAUAUUUUUUAAUAAUAAUAAUAUUUAAAAAUUUUAAUUAAAAAUUAAAUCAGAUCAAGAUGCAGAUUAUAAUUAAGAAUAUAAUGGAUUACAAUAAAUUUAUUUAUAUGAAUAUUAAUUUGUAAAAUUUAAUUGAAGGUGGAUUUAAAUGUAA
rnacentral:rRNA from 1 species